rnacentral:rRNA from 1 species
GAUGAACGCUAGCGGGAGGCCUAACACAUGCAAGCCGAGCGGUAUUGUUUCUUCGGAAAUGAGAGAGCGGCGUACGGGUGCGGAACACGUGUGCAACCUGCCUUUAUCUGGGGGAUAGCCUUUCGAAAGGAAGAUUAAUACUCCAUAAUAUAUUGAUUGGCAUCAAUUAAUAUUGAAAGCUCCGGCGGAUAGAGAUGGGCACGCGCAAGAUUAGCUAGUUGGUGAGGUAACGGCUCACCAAGGCGAUGAUCUUUAGGGGGCCUGAGAGGGUGAUUCCCCACACUGGUACUGAGACACGGACCAGAAUCCUACGGGAGGCAGCAGUGAGGAAUAUUGGUCAAUGGGUGCAAGCCUGAACCAGCCAUCCCGCGUGAAGGACGACUGCCCUAUGGGUUGUAAACUUCCUUUGUAUAGGGAUAAACCUACCCUCGUGAGGGUAGCUGAAGGUACUAUACGAAUAAGCACCGGCUAACUCCGUGCCAGCCGCCGCAGUAAUAC